rnacentral:rRNA from 1 species
UAGAUGCUGACGAGCGGCGGACGGGUGAGUAACGCGUAGGAAUCUACCGAGUAGUGGGGGAUAGCCCAGAGAAAUUUGGAUUAAUACCGCAUACGCCCUACGGGGGAAAGGAGGGGAUCUUCGGACCUUUCGCUAUUUGAUGAGCCUGCGUAAGAUUAGCUAGUUGGUAGGGUAAAGGCCUACCAAGGCGACGAUCUUUAGCUGUUCUGAGAGGAUGAUCAGCCACACUGGGACUGAGACACGGCCCAGACUCCUACGGGAGGCAGCAGUGGGGAAUAUUGGACAAUGGGGGCAACCCUGAUCCAGCCAUGCCGCGUGUGUGAAGAAGGCCUUCGGGUUGUAAAGCACUUUCAGAUGUGAGGAAAGGAUAGUAGCUAAUAACUGCUAUCUGUGACGUUAACAUCAGAAGAAGGACCGGCUAACUCCGUGCCAGCAGCCGCGGUAAUACGGAGGGUCCGAGCGUUAAUCGGAAUUACUGGGCGUAAAGCGCGCGUAGGCGGCUAAGUCAGUCAGAUGUGAAAGCCCCGGGCUCAACCUGGGAAUUGCACCUGAUACUGCUUGGCUAGAGUACAGAAGAGGGUGGUGGAAUUUCCUGUGUA